CCUUCAGAGGCCCUGGGACUACAGUUCCUAGCCUCCCCAGCCCAUGGUUUUAAGCCCCCUCUCCUGUCCAUGUUUCCAAGGGAUUGUGCGCCUCUCCUAAAAUAUGUCUCCCCCUCUUUAUAGUCCCCCCUCAGAGUAUUUGCACGAAAACCCCGUUGUAGGCGUAGGUAACAUUUUGUGGUUUAGAGUGGCUAGAAUAUCUAGUAGCAAUGAUGGGGUGAAAGUUCUCUUUCAGAUGGCACAAAGGAGUUGCAUUUAAGCAGAAUGCAUUUGUUUUGCAUUUUGGCAGGGGGUUAGUAUUUGCACUGAAAUUUGCUGGUUCAAAUCUGAAGAAUGUGUUGGAAUUUGCUUGUGGGCAUGGAUCCUUCACGCAUUCAAUACAGAACUAUUUACACUCAUUUGCCCCUGCUCCAAUUUUUCUGGGGUUCCCCUGCAUCUGCCCGAAAAAUGACCCAGGUGCCCAGUCGCUGGUUCGUACUUGGAGCACAUGCAAAUGCAGCCUUCGCACAGGCCCCGUCUAGGGGUUGGUACAGCUAAAUGACCAAAACACUGCCAGUUCAGCGAGAGAGAUUUCUGGACAAAAAACUGUAUUGCCAGCAGCGACAGGGCUGCCACUAAGCCCCAACAAAUACUCGCCAGAUCUUUCUUGGGAGUGAGUUUAACACUUGUUUCCCGAUUAACUGAUCACUUUCCUCAGAGUAAUCACCAAAGCCAUUUAGGGUUUGUUUUUAAUUCUUCCCUAGUUGACCAGAGGGACUGUUUCCUGCACACACCCAGGCACAUCAUGGAAUGAGGGGCAGCUUUUUGUAGGAAGGCCACUUCAUAGGAAAUUCAGCUACUUUGAAGGGAGCAGUUCACGUUUUAAACAGGAAGCUGCCUAGAAGCAGUGCCCGUGGCUCUGUCGAUGGGUAUCUUAGCCAGCAGUGGUGCGCCUGAGGCAGGGUCUCCCACCCCCGAGGCAGGGUCUGCCUUAGCUGGUGGGCUGGGGGCUCCCCGAGAAAGCCCGCCAGUUCUUAUGGGGAAGCAGGCCAGCCGGGCCUCCCUCUUCAGCUGCAGCACUAACCACUCCUCGUUUUGCUUCUCUCUGCUCGCCCUGCGGCCGGGUCCAAGCUGCGUGCAUUAGUUUGCGGUCUGGUUCCAUCAAACGCUUAAAGCGCUAGUAACAAUGCAUAUUUUGAAAGAAAAACUAUUUAAGGAUUAAAAAGAAGUUGCUCUUCA